GUUUUUACACAUGGACAACUAUAUGUUGCUCUUUCUCGGGUGACAAGCAGAAAGGGAUUAAAAAUUUUGGUUUGUGAUGAUGAUGGGCAAAUAACUAAUGAAGCUACAAAUGUUGUAUUUAAAGAAGUUUUUCGAAAUUUAGUCUGACACUCGAAAGAUAAUCAAUGUCUUUUUUGAGGUUUAAGUACUACUUUUGUUGCUGAGAUUCAUUAACCAAGUGCGACAAUAGUUGUUGAUAAGAUAUCUGAAACAUAUCUGUCAGGAUUUGCCAUAACAUGGAUUAACGGGACUUCUUACAUCGCAUUUGUGAAGAAGCACAGAAUGUCAUUUUUGUAAUGUCGAUUUCAAAGAGGGGAUUGUCACUGGAGAUUAAAUUUGGCCACUGCUUCAAAUUUGGCAUUAGUACUGGAGAUGAAGUUCAAUGUCAGCUUUCAAGGUGGAGUGAUGUCGUUUAAUGAUGGUGGUCCUUCAUUUAAAUCCCAAGCCCAGAUUCUCAAAGGUCGUUUUACUGCUGCGUUUUCGAAGAAUUUAAGCUGCGUUCUUGGCUGAUUUUCAGAAGUUACGGGGGUACGGGGGCUAUUUUGAGUGAUGUUUUGGGGUGAGUUUUGCCGCAGAUCUUAUGGCCAUUUUUCGCUAAGUUUUGACUGCUCUUGGUCCAGAUUUCUGGACUGUUUUUGAGCGAUUUCGGCAGUAAGUUUCAGCUGGAAUUUUUUGACUAUUUUUGGGUGAGAAAGUUGCAGCGUUUUGGACUGUUUGCUGCUGAUUUUCACAGCUUUUUGGAGUAUUUUGGGGCUGUUCUAAGGUGGAGUUUGCAGCUGGUUUGUGUGGGUUUAAGGUGGAAGAAGAAGGUUGUGAAAAUGAACGAUUUUUGUGCUCCUCAAACAGUUGUUGUUGCUGCAUUUUUACUGCUACAGAUUGGUGUUUUGGGUUAUGUUUUGCUGAGGUUUUUGGCUGUAUGUUUAAUGGAGAUUUCAUGAUUUUUUCUCACAAUAUCUCGAGGGAUGAUUCUUCUGUAUAGUAUAUGCAUCUUUCGAGUUCAAAGAGUAAGCUUACGUGCAAUAAGGUUUAUAUGUUGGGUUGCCUUUGCACUGUGUAUGCUGAAGUAUUUAUCAGAAGUACAAUCGAGUUUAGUUUGUUUCACCUAUACU